GGCGGUAUCGUCUAGUCUGGUCUAGGACGCGGCCCUCUCAAGGCUGAAACACGGGUUCAAAUCCCGUUAUCGCUACCA
rnacentral:tRNA from 1 species